GUAGGCGGUUUAAUAAGUGAAUAGUGAAACCUGGUGGCUCAACCAUACAGACUAUUAUUCAAACUGUUAAACUCGAGAAUGGUAGAGGUAACNUGGAAUUUCUAGUGUAGGAGUGAAAUCCGUAGAUAUUAGAAGGAACACCGAUGGCGUAGGCAGGUUACNUGGGCCAUUUCUGACGCUAAGGCACGAAAGCGUGGGGAGCGAACCGGAUUAGAUACCCGGGUAGUCCACGCCGUAAACGAUGGAUACUAGCUGUUGGAGGUAUCGACCCCUUCAGUAGCGAAGCUAACGCGUUAAGUAUCCCGCCUGUGGAGUACGGCCGCAAGGCUAAAACAUAAAGGAAUUGACGGGGACCCGCACAAGCGGUGGAUCAUGUUCUUUAAUUCGAUGAUAAACGAAGAACCUUACCAGGGUUUGACAUCCCGAGAAGAUUUACGAAAGUAGAUUGUGCCUUUUGGAACUCGGUGACAGAUGAUGCAUGGCCGUCGUCAGCUCGUGUCGUGAGAUGUUAGAUUAAGUCCUUCAACGAGCGCAACCCUUGUGAAUAGUUGUAUUUUUCUAUUCAGACUGCCCCGGUAACGGGGAGGAAGGAGGGGGAUGAUGUCAGGUCAGUAUUUCCCUUUACGUCCUGGGCUAGAAAACGUAACACAAUGGCUAGUACAAUGCGCAGCGAAGCCGCGAGGUGAAGCAAAUCGCAUCAAAGCUAGUC
rnacentral:rRNA from 1 species